rnacentral:rRNA from 1 species
AUUGAACGCUGGCGGCAGGCUUAACACAUGCAAGUCGAGCGGAGAUGAGGUGCUUGCACCUUAUCUUAGCGGCGGACGGGUGAGUAAUGCUUAGGAAUCUGCCUAUUAGUGGGGGACAACAUUCCGAAAGGAAUGCUAAUACCGCAUACGUCCUACGGGAGAAAGCAGGGGAUCUUCGGACCUUGCGCUAAUAGAUGAGCCUAAGUCGGAUUAGCUAGUUGGUGGGGUAAAGGCCUACCAAGGCGACGAUCUGUAGCGGGUCUGAGAGGAUGAGCCGCCACACUGGGACGGGGACACGGCCCAGAAUCCUACGGGAGGCAGCAGUGGGGAAUAUUGGACAAUGGGGGGAACCCUGAUCCAGCCAUGCCGCGUGUGUGAAGAAGGCCUUAUGGUUGUAAAGCACUUUAAGCGAGGAGGAGGCUACUGAGACUAAUACUCUUGGAUAGUGGACGUUACUCGCAGAAUAAGCACCGGCUAACUCUGUGCCAGCAGCCGCAGUAAGAC